AGGACGAACGCUGGCGGCGUGCCUAAUACAUGCAAGUCGCACGGGCUCCUUCGGGGGUCAGUGGCGGACGGGUGAGUAACACGUGGGUAACCUGCCUGGCAGAUCGGUAUAACGCCUGGAAACGGGUGCUAAUCCCGGAUAGGUUCCUUGGCCGCAUGGCCGAGGAAGGAAAGGCGCUACGGCGUCACUGCCAGAGGGGCCCGCGGCGCAUUAGCCAGUUGGUGGGGUAAUGGCCUACCAAAGCGACGAUGCGUAGCCGACCUGAGAGGGUGACCGGCCACACUGGGACUGAGACACGGCCCAGACUCCUACGGGCGGCAGC
rnacentral:rRNA from 1 species